UACGUAGGGUGCAAGCGUUGUCCGGAAUCAUUGGGCGUAAAGCGCGCGUAGGCGGUGAUCUUUGUCAGAGGUGAAAUCCCGAGGCUCAACUUCGGAAUUGCCUUUGAAACGGGAUUGCUUGAGUCCGAGAGAGGAUGGCGGAAUUCCUAGUGUAGAGGUGAAAUUCGUAGAUAUUAGGAAGAACACCGGUGGCGAAGGCGGCCAUCUGGCUCGGUACUGACGCUCAGGCGCGAAAGCGUGGGGAGCAAACAGG
rnacentral:rRNA from 1 species